UAGACGAGUGCAACAACAAUACCCACAACUGCGACGUUAAUGCCAAGUGCAACAAUACCGAAGGCUCUUUCAACUGCAGCUGCAAGGUUGGGUUUAAUGGCGAUGGCAAGAAAUGCGCAGAUGUAGACGAGUGUACCACCAAUACACACAACUGUGACGUCAACGCUGAGUGCAACAAUACUGAAGGUUCUUUUAACUGCAGCUGCAAGGUCGGAUUUAAUGGCGAUGGCAAAAAAUGCACAGAUCUAGACGAGUGCAACAACAAUACCCACAACUGCGACGUUAAUGCCAAGUGCAACAAUACCGAAGGUUCUUUCAACUGCAGCUGCAAGGUUGGGUUUAAUGGCGAUGGCAAAAAAU